GCCAGACUCCUACGGGAGGCAGCAGUGGGGGAUAUUGCACAAUGGGGGGAACCCUGAUGCAGCAACGCCGCGUGAGUGAAGAAGUAUUUCGGUAUGUAAAGCUCUAUCAGCAGGGAAGAAGAUGACGGUACCUGACCAAGAAGCCCCGGCUAACUACGUGCCAGCAGCCGCGGUAAUACGUAGGGGGCAAGCGUUAUCCGGAUUUACUGGGUGUAAAGGGAGCGCAGACGGCAGUGCAAGUCUGGAGUGAAAGCCCGGGGCCCAACCCCGGAACUGCUCUGGAAACUGUGCGGCUAGAGUACUGGAGGGGCAGGCGGAAUUCCUAGUGUAGCGGUGAAAUGCGUAGAUAUUAGGAGGAACACCAGUGGCGAAGGCGGCCUGCUGGACAGUAACUGACGUUGAGGCUCGAAAGCGUGGGGAGCAAACAGGAUUAGAUACCCGAGUAUAU
rnacentral:rRNA from 1 species